UACGUAGGGCGCAAGCGUUGUCCGGAAUUAUUGGGCGUAAAGAGCUCGUAGGCGGUCUGUUACGUCUGCUGUGAAAACCCAGGGCUUAACCCUGGGCUUGCAGUGGAUACGGGCAGACUAGAGGCAGGUAGGGGAGAAUGGAAUUCCCGGUGUAGCGGUGAAAUGCGCAGAUAUCGGGAGGAACACCGGUGGCGAAGGCGGUUCUCUGGGCCUGACCUGGACGCUGAGGAGCGAAAGCGUGGGGAGCGAACAGG
rnacentral:rRNA from 1 species